rnacentral:rRNA from 1 species
UACGGAGGGUGCAAGCGUUAUCCGGAUUCACUGGGUUUAAAGGGUGCGUAGGUGGGCUAGUAAGUCCGUGGUGAAAUCUCCAAGCUUAACUUGGAAACUGCCGUGGAUACUAUUAGUCUUGAAUCUCGUGGAGGUAAGCGGAAUAUGUCAUGUAGCGGUGAAAUGCUUAGAUAUCGUCAAGAACACCUAUAGCGAAGGCAGCUUACUAGGCUGUAACUGACGCUGAGGCACGAAAGUGUGGGGAUCAAACAGG